rnacentral:rRNA from 1 species
CGAGCACGCGCGUGUGGCAUAUCAAUAAGCGGAGGAAAAGAAACUAACAAGGAUUCCCUUAGUAACGGCGAGUGAAGCGGGAAGAGCUCAAAUUUGAAAUCUUCAAGGUUCUACCUUGACGAAUUGUAGUUUAAUAGAAGUGUUUUCUGUUAGUAGAGUGGCAAAAGUUCUUUGGAAUAGGACAUCAUAGAGGGUGAGAAUCCCGUAUUUGGUCAUUCCUUCUAGCGUUGUGAUACACUUUCAACGAGUCGGAUUGUUUGGGAAUGCAGUCCAAAAUGGGUGGUAAAUUUCAUCUAAAGCUAAAUAUUGGCGAGAGACCGAUAGCGAACAAGUACCGUGAGGGAAAGAUGAAAAGAACUUUGAAAAGAGAGCUAAACAGUACGUGAAAUUGUCAAAAGGGAAGCGUUUGACACCAGUGUUGUUUUUCCGAAAAUCAAUUACGAAUGUUUUGUUUUUGAGGAGUUAUGACUUCAUCGGCUUGCUCCCUUUCUUUAUGAAACUUUCUUAAUGCACUUUUCGGUUAACAAGUCAACAUCAAUUUCUUUUGUUGUAAGAGGGUAUGAGGAAGGGUGGCUUUCUUUUCGGAGAAAGUGUUUAUAGCCUUGUGCCUCUGCAAUCGGAGAGAUUGAGGUCUGCAGCGUAGAUCCUUCGGGAUUAGAUACGUUUGUGCUAAGUUAUAGCUUUUCAUAGACAACUUGUUGACUAUGUUUAGUCUUGUAGCUUACUCGCUGACGCUAUUUUACCUACGCUUAGGAUGUUAAGCGCAUGUCUCUCUCU